GGCAGAGGCGGUGCUAUACUGCAGUCGAGCGAACAGAUAGGAGCUUGCUCCUUUGACGUUAGCGGCGGACGGGUGAGUAACACGUGGAUAACCUACCUAUAAGACUGGGAUAACUUCGGGAAACCGGAGCUAAUACCGGAUAACAUAUUGAACCGCAUGGUUCAAUAGUGAAAGGCGGCUUUGCUGUCACUUAUAGAUGGAUCCGCGCCGUAUUAGCUAGUUGGUAAGGUAACGGCUUACCAAGGCAACGAUACGUAGCCGACCUGAGAGGGUGAUCGGCCACACUGGAACUGAGACACGGUCCAGACUCCUACGGGAGGCAGCAGUAGGGAAUCUUCCGCAAUGGGCGAAAGCCUGACGGAGCAACGCCGCGUGAGUGAUGAAGGUCUUCGGAUCGUAAAACUCUGUUAUCAGGGAAGAACAAAUGUGUAAGUAACUGUGCACAUCUUGACGGUACCUGAUCAGAAAGCCACGGCUAACUACGUGCCAGCAGCCGCGGUAAUACGUAGGUGGCAAGCGUUAUCCGGAAUUAUUGGGCGUAAAGCGCGCGUAGGCGGUUUUUUAAGUCUGAUGUGAAAGCCCACGGCUCAACCGUGGAGGGUCAUUGGAAACUGGAAAACUUGAGUGCAGAAGAGGAAAGUGGAAUUCCAUGUGUAGCGGUGAAAUGCGCAGAGAUAUGGAGGAACACCAGUGGCGAAGGCGACUUUCUGGUCUGUAACUGACGCUGAUGUGCGAAAGCGUGGGGAUCAAACAGGAUUAGAUACCCUGGUAGUCCACGCCGUANACGAUGAGUGCUAAGUGUUAGGGGGUUUCCGCCCCUUAGU
rnacentral:rRNA from 1 species